rnacentral:rRNA from 1 species
AUUGAACGCUGGCGGCAUGCUUUACACAUGCAAGUCGAACGGCAGCGCGGGGCAACCUGGCGGCGAGUGGCGAACGGGUGAGUAAUACAUCGGAACGUACCCAGAAGUGGGGGAUAACGUAGCGAAAGUUACGCUAAUACCGCAUACGUUCUACGGAAGAAAGUGGGGGACCUUCGGGCCUCAUGCUUUUGGAGCGGCCGAUGUCUGAUUAGCUAGUUGGUGAGGUAAAGGCUCACCAAGGCGACGAUCAGUAGCUGGUCUGAGAGGACGACCAGCCACACUGGGACUGAGACACGGCCCAGACUCCUACGGGAGGCAGCAGUGGGGAAUUUUGGACAAUGGGCGCAAGCCUGAUCCAGCAAUGCCGCGUGAGUGAAGAAGGCCUUCGGGUUGUAAAGCUCUUUUGUCAGGGAAGAAACGGCUGAGGAUAAUACCUUCGGCUAAUGACGGUACCUGAAGAAUAAGCACCGGCUAACUACGU